GAUGAAGAACGCAGCGAAACGCGAUACGUAAUGUGAAUUGCAGAAUUCAGUGAAUCAUCGAAUCUUUGAACGCACAUUGCGCCCUUUGGUAUUCCGAAGGGCAUGCCUGUUCGAGCGUCAUUUCACCACUCAAGCCUGGCUUGGUAUUGGGCGCCGCGGUCGAUCCGCGCGCCUCAAAGUCUCCGGCUGAGCUGUCCGUCUCUAAGCGUUGUGAUUUCAUUAAUCGCUUCGGAGUGCGGGCGGCCGCGGCCGUUAAAUCUUUCACAAGGUUGACCUCGGAUCAGGUAGGGAUACCCGCUGAACUUAAGCAUAUCAAUAAGCGGAGGA
rnacentral:misc_RNA from 1 species